rnacentral:lncRNA from 1 species
UCUAUCCAAGCUCCAGCUCCCUCUGCCAUUCUCCUGCCUCAGAACAGGGAAAAGGUGCUCUGAAGCUGCGCUCCCUUCCACUCAGCCAGAGAAGACCAGCAGACCAGGGGCCAGAGGCAGAGAAAUGCAUGCAAGUGGCUCCUCCCUGCAAAUCAGAACAUCUGACCCUGGCCCAGCACCGGACUCCUGUCCUGGAUGUGGUCUCAACAGCACAGCCUUGGAGCAAACCCAGGGAGCUCGAAUGAGUGACGGUCCUGGUGUGGGUUCAGCCAUAACCUCCAGGACAGAUGAGAGCAGGCACUUCUAAAGGGUGGCCCUUCCGAGAGGGAAAGGCCUGGAGCCUUACGCUGGAGCAUGCUCACUCUGGGGGUCUAGCGCCGAGUCCCGGGUCCUGAGGGACACACUGUGAGCCUGGAGUUGGUGACGGCUGGGGACAUACUGUGAGCCUGGAGCUGAUGACAGCUGGAACCGGACGGUGCACUGUGAGCCUGGAGCUGGUGACGGCUGGGGACAUACUGUGAGCCUGGAGCUGGUGGCUGCUGGAGACAUACUGUGAGCCUGGAGCUGGUGACGGCUGGAACCAGACAUUGCACUGUGAGCCUGCAGCUGGUGACAGCUGGGGACAUACUGUGAGCCUGGACCUGGUGACGGCUGGAACCGGACGGUGCACUGUGAACCUGGAGCUGAUGACAGCUGGGGACAUACUGUGAGCCUGGAGCUGGUGACGGCUGGGGACAUACGGCCAAAAUGCCAGCAAAGCAAGCAUUAUUCCACCCGGUUACCUGCCCACAUCUGCACCAGACACUGCCACCGAG